rnacentral:lncRNA from 1 species
UCACGCCACUGAACUCCAGCCUGGGCAGCAAGAGCAAAACUCUGUCUCAAAAAAAAAAAAAGGAUUCUUGAAGGGGUAGUGGAGUUUCUGCACCUCAACAGAAUUCCCCCUUCUCCAGUGAAAAAAGUAUACAAGCAAAACCACGAAAAAGAUUUACAGAGAGAAACAGCAAGUUUACUCUUGAUAUGAAGACUAAAAAUAUCAAGGGGAGAUGCUGGUGUGCAUGUGUCAGAUGCCCCACACUAUAUGUCAACAAUAUCCAAGUAACAGGAUCCCUUGAGACAUGACCCCUCCAGCCACAGUCAUCUGAAUACAGUGCAAAUGUGAGGAAAAACCUUCUUGGUGGGUAGAAGAUAAGCAAAAAACAUGUGUUAGCAGCCAUUAAUUACAUCAUUUUCUGGCAUAAGAGAAAGCAACUAAAUUCAUGAUAGAAACAACAAAGUCAUUGACUUCAAAAAAAAAAGAACAAUGAAGUUUAGCUCCUAUAUUUGCUAACUGAAUUUUCUUCAUAAUUGAAAAUCCACUUCACAGGUAGAGGUGAAACUUAUCUUCAAUACUCGAUCUCACACAGCACCUGCUGCCUUGUAUCUAGGCAGUAAGGGCAGAAUUCUAUUUCUCUUGCAAAUGAGAAAAAAGGGAAAAGGAUUUCCAUUCACUUCACCCAUGUGCUCCUUAACUACUUAUGGCAUGCAUACAGUGGGCUGCAACUGUGCAGACAAUCAAACCCAUCACCUCUUUUCCUCAUCUUUCUCACAGUGACUCAUGACUCAUGGUAUGACCACACUCAUGGCUGGCUACAAAUGAGAGGAAAAAAGAAUGUCCUGAUAGUAGCAUGUGAGGAACUGCAUCAGGUAACCAUCUUUCCCCAAAAUUCACUCUCUUUCACACCAUUUCACAGCUAUCUUCCCUCCAUUAAUGGUUCUAUUCCACUGUCCCAUUCAAAGGUUAUCCCAGUGAGAAGAUCAAGGAUGGUCGCUGUCUGCCUUUUCUUCAUUGUUCCAGUUAGGUGGCAAAUGUUAUUUAUUCAAUUUUCUUAUUUCCUCUGGCAACAUUUCAUGCAUGUAUUGAGGAAGAGCUUAACAUAUACAUG